GACGAACGCUGGCGGCAGGCCUAACACAUGCAAGUCGGACGGUAGCACAGAGGAGCUUGCUCCUCGGGUGACGAGUGGCGGACGGGUGAGUAAUGUCUGGGGAUCUGCCCGAUAGAGGGGGAUAACCACUGGAAACGGUGGCUAAUACCGCAUAACGUCGCAAGACCAAAGAGGGGGACCUUCGGGCCUCUCACUAUCGGAUGAACCCAGAUGGGAUUAGCUAGUAGGCGGGGUAACGGCCCACCUAGGCGACGAUCCCUAGCUGGUCUGAGAGGAUGACCAGCCACACUGGAACUGAGACACGGUCCAGACUCCUACGGGAGGCAGCAGUGGGGAAUAUUGCACAAUGGGCGCAAGCCUGAUGCAGCCAUGCCGCGUGUAUGAAGAAGGCCUUCGGGUUGUAAAGUACUUUCAGCGGGGAGGAAGGCGAUGUGGUUAAUAACCGCAUUGAUUGACGUUACCCGCAGAAGAAGCACCGGCUAACUCCGUGCCAGCAGCCGCGGUAA
rnacentral:rRNA from 1 species